GGUUUUACCCACAGCGCCACCCGCGUCCCUUUAGGAGGCGAAGAGGAAGGACUGUUUAUUCCCCUUAUUUUGCAGCAACCUGUGUUGCAUCUUCAGAGGCAAGUGCAAUGUUCCACAACUUCUGUUAUCAGCUCCCAUUUUGCUUUCAAUUUUUUACAUUAGCUAUCAUUGCUGGCACUUUGACUAUGGGCUAAAGAAGAAGCUCCUCAAAUGAAAAUAUCAUUCUUUCCCCCCCACCAAGCCUGCACUGAAAUCACGUGAAUGUUUUGCAAUUUUGUAUAUUAAUAAAAUCUGAAACUCUUAAAUCCCACAUGAGUGAAGCUAUGGCAUUAGUUAUUUAACUAUGUGCCUUCAAACAUGACAAUCUGGCCUUUUCACAUGGAGUCGCACAAUGUGCUGUGAAUUAUUUUAUGACAGCCAAAUAAUCCCACGCAGGUGACUAAAGUGCAUUGAGACACUGUUCCAAAGGUUGUAAUAAUGGCUUCUUUUCAGAAUGGAAACAUGGCACUAAUAGAGCCUUCGACAACCAGAUACCCUCCAGCUGGUUUGGUCUACAAUUCCCAUCAGCCCCAGCAUCAUAUGGCCGGGCUGGCUAGGGCUGAUGGGAGUUGUAGUCUAUAACAGCUGGAAGGCAGCAAACUGGUGAAGGCUGACCUCGUGCAAAACAUGUGGUUAGAAUCCUCAGGAAUUCACCACAGGCUGUCUCAGAUCCACAGCAUCAAAGGGUGGCAAGAAAGUUAUUAUUGAAAUAGCCUGCUAAAAGCUGCUUUUGUCAUGGAAUUGGAUUCUUUCUUUCUUUUUCAUUUUUUAGCCGUGUUAGAUUUAUGAGAGGCAACUCCUGAAUCUGCAUCUCUUUUGCUGAUAUUGUGUGGAAGCCAACCCUGGUAAUAGAGAGCUCAAGGGGACUCCGGACAGUGUUGCUUUGCCGGUCCUUUCCUGAACAUAUUUCAUUUCUGUAUUAUUGUAUGAAAACUUAAGUUUUAAUACCGUACCAUAGGACACUAAGGACCCUAUUCAGAGACUGUUUGUGUCCCGUGGAAGGGGCUUUUAAUGUACUGUAAGUCUGAUUUGAAAAACCAGCCCUCCAUACGACUCUCUGGCAAACGGGAACUCAGGAAAUCGGGCCGUUACUGAGAUGGUCUUGGCAUUCGUGCCGGCUCUUUGACGUGCCUGCCGCAAGCCCGAUAGGGGCUUCAUUGUGCCACUUCCACAAAGAAAGGGAACGUCGCCUCUUUUCUUCUCUGUCAGUGGCUGACAUAAGAAGGUUUUCAGAACAAAGGGCAGAGUUGUGCCAAGGAGCAGUCCAAGAGGAUUAGCACUUCCGAACAGCGGAAGGCCUCCCUCGCCUACCUGCCUCGUUCCUGCUCUUCACUGCAUUUUUGGGUUUGGGCUUAUGGCAAUUUCAAGUGAAUGAUGCAUUCAUUCUCCGCACAAAUCUUAUUUCUAAACUCUAAUUUAAUAGCAUUAAACCCUAAGCUGCCUUGGUUUUAAGAGAUAAAACUCCAAAGUUGAUAACUGCAUUUAGGAAUAGUUCAGGUAUUGAGUUUCUAAUUUGCUUCCUGAGCAUGGAAAUCCCUCAGAUAGUCAAUAUUGACGACCUUUAAUUGGUAGCCGGAGCCUCCCGCUGAGCAAAUGUUUUUCUCUCCAGCAGAAGGAAGAGGUUCCAGGUGGCUGGCAAGGCAUCCUUGGCUGCAGCUACUCAGGACCACACUCCUCCAGGCAGGUCAGGCUUUGAGCAGGGCAUCCUCUAUCUGCUGCUGCUGUUGAUCUUUGCUCUUGCUUCCAGGCAGAGCUGGAGGGGAUUGCCCAGAGUAGGGCCAGCAGACACCACCUGCCCUGUGAGGAGAAAGAAGAGGGGAAGGGAGGCAGACACGGGCAUCAGGCCUGCUCCAGCCACACUGUCUCGCCGCCAGCCAACUUGAAAUGCUAUACCAUUUGUUUUAAUCCUUAAAAAUUGCAAACCAUCUUGGGUGCCUUUGGCAGAAAGGUAGUAUAUAAAUGCAAGGAAUAAAUAAAUGAAUGCCUGCUUCUGCACAGCUAAAGGUAAAGCCAACUGCCUUCACUGCCAUUCCUUGGGAAUCCAACACUGAUUCCCCAUUUGUAAGAUGAGGAGGAAAGCCCAGCCUACAACCAGAGGCUGCUUGUGGGUUUGAAGAGAGGCCUGCCUUAGCCCUGCCCUCUGGAAUAUACCAAUCACUGGCCUCCCACCUGGACAUCACAAGGAGCAGCGCCGAGAAGUUAGUGCCUACCUGCAGCCGCACCUGGAAGCAAGGCCCUGACCAAGGAGACGACCUGGCAUAAGGAGCAGCCAGCCAGCAUCAGCCAAGGCCUGGCAAUGGAUGCCUGUAAAGACAGAGGGACUCUAGAGGGAGACGUAAGGGCCUUUUCCCUACUUUCAGCCAUCACCUCUGUGUAUAUUAAACAUUAGCUCCAAUGAAA